rnacentral:rRNA from 1 species
UCGAGCGGGGAAAGGUAGCUUGCUACUGGACCUAGCGGCGGACGGGUGAGUAAUGCUUAGGAAUCUGCCUAUUAGUGGGGGACAACAUUCCGAAAGGAAUGCUAAUACCGCAUACGUCCUACGGGAGAAAGCAGGGGACCUUCGGGCCUUGCGCUAAUAGAUGAGCCUAAGUCGGAUUAGCUAGUUGGUGGGGUAAAGGCCUACCAAGGCGACGAUCUGUAGCGGGUCUGAGAGGAUGAUCCGCCACACUGGGACUGAGACACGGCCCAGACUCCUACGGGAGGCAGCAGUGGGGAAUAUUGGACAAUGGGGGGAACCCUGAUCCAGCCAUGCCGCGUGUGUGAAGAAGGCCUUAUGGUUGUAAAGCACUUUAAGCGAGGAGGAGGCUACUAGUAUUAAUACUACUGGAUAGUGGACGUUACUCGCAGAAUAAGCACCGGCUAACUCUGUGCCAGCAGCCGCGGUAAUACAGAGGGUGCGAGCGUUAAUCGGAUUUACUGGGCGUAAAGCGUGCGUAGGCGGCCAUUUAAGUCAAAUGUGAAAUCCCCGAGCUUAACUUGGGAAUUGCAUUCGAUACUGGAUGGCUAGAGUAUGGGAGAGGAUGGUAGAAUUCCAGGUGUAGCGGUGAAAUGCGUAGAGAUC